rnacentral:rRNA from 1 species
CCAGACUCCUACGGGAGGCAGCAGUGGGGAAUAUUGCACAAUGGGGGAAACCCUGAUGCAGCGACGCCGCGUGAGCGAAGAAGUACCUCGGUAUGUAAAGCUCUAUCAGCAGGGAAGAAGAUGACGGUACCUGACCAAGAAGCUCCGGCUAACUACGUGCCAGCAGCCGCGGUAAUACGUAUGGUGCAAGCGUUAUCCGGAUUUACUGGGUGUAAAGGGAGCGCAGGCGGCACGGCAAGCCUGAUGUGAAAGCCCGCGGCCCAACCGCGGGACUGCAUUGGGAACUACCGGGCUGGAGUGCCGGAGAGGUAGGCGGAAUUCCUAGUGUAGCGGUGAAAUGCGUAGAUAUUAGGAGGAACGCCAGUGGCGAAGGCGGCCUACUGGACGGUGACUGACGCUGAGGCUCGAAAGCGUGGGGAGCAAACAGGAUUAGAGACCCUGGUACGA